rnacentral:rRNA from 1 species
GAUGAACGCUAGCGAUAGGCCUAACACAUGCAAGUCGAGGGGCAUCACAUGAAGUAGCAAUACGGAUGGUGGCGACCGGCGCACGGGUGAGUAACACGUAUGCAACCUGCCUUCAACAAGGGGAUAACCCGUUGAAAGACGGACUAAUACCCUAUAACACAGGGGUCCCGCAUGGGAAUAUUUGUUAAAGGACAACCGGUUGAAGAUGGGCAUGCGUUCCAUUAGCUAGUUGGCGGGGUAACGGCCCACCAAGGCAACGAUGGAUAGGGGAACUGAGAGGUUUAUCCCCCACACUGGUACUCGAGACACGGACCAGACUCCUACGGGAGGCAGCAGUGAGGAAUAUUGGUCAAUGGACGCAAGUCUGAACCAGCCACGUCGCGUGAAGGAAGACGGCCCUAGGGUUGUAAACUUCUUUUAACGGGAAUAAAGUGCCCCACGCGUGGGGUUUUGCAUGUACCGUAUGAAUAAGGAUCGGCUAACUCCGUG